rnacentral:rRNA from 1 species
CCUACGGGAGGCAGCAGUGAGGAAUAUUGGUCAAUGGGCGCGAGCCUGAACCAGCCAAGUCGCGUGAGGGAAGACGGUCCUAUGGGUUGUAAACCUCUUUUGUCGGGGAGCAAAGGGCGCCACGCGUACCGUUUCGAGAGUACCCGAAGAAAAAGCAUCGGCUAACUCCGUGCCAGCAGCCGCGGUAAUACGGAGGAUGCGAGCGUUAUCCGGAUUUAUUGGGUUUAAAGGGAGCGUAGGCGGGUUGUCAAGUCAGCGGUUAAAGUUUGAGGCUCAACCGUCGAAUGGCAGUUGAAACUGGCAUCAUUGAGUAGAGUAGAGGUAGGCGGAAUGCGGGGUGUAGCGGUGAAAUGCUUAGAUGUCACGCAGAACUCCGAUUGCGAAGGCAGCCUGCUGGACUGUAACUGACGCUGAUGCUCGAAAGUGUGGGUAUCAAACAGGAUUAGAGACCCGGGUAGUC